CUGGGCUGAGUGCACCUGAUCUGGGAGCUAAGCAGUCUCAGGCCAGCCCAGUGUUUGGACGGGAGACCACCUGGAAAUCCCAGGGC
rnacentral:rRNA from 1 species